AUGGGCAGUACCCACCCAAAGCUGUUCCUCUCUGGGUUCUCUGGAUUUGUCCAAAGGAGAAUAAGUUCACCGUUGUCACCCUCACCCCAAACAAAAGCCACAAACAUGCUAGGGGCCCCAGAAUGCUCCAUGGGAAAUCCAGGCCUCAGCAGCAACCUGGAAAAGGCCCAGACCACCACCUGCCCGAGAGGCCCACCACACUGGAGGCAGGACACGGUCCCCUAUUUGAUCUCUGCCAACAGUUGGACUCUCUGCCUCUUGCUGUGUCUGUUUCUACCUGUCACCAUUUUUUUAAGGGGCAAAGUUUUAAUUGGCUCACAGCUGUCACCGUUCUUGUCUCCCCAGGGGUUUGGUUACCAGUAUCAGCCCCAUCACACCCAGAGCACCCGCCUGGCCAAGGGACCGGGCUCUUGUUUCUGGUGCAGGAGGCACAGGUUUCACAGCGAGGAUGCCUGAGGAGCUUGUGCAGAUGUCUGCCUUAGCUCCCUCAUGGUGACAGAGUGGCCCUGGGAUGCCUUUCUGGAGGCUACAGGGUGGAGGAGGGAACUUCAUGGAGGCAUCUGGGUUGGAGCACAAGGCUGGAGGAGUUGCAAUGGAAGUGUUCUGUGAAGCCUAACUCGGUUCCUGAACAAGCAGCGAGGUACCAGCUGCAGUGUAUGCAUGACAGGCUGGAAGGUACUUGCAGGGUAGAGGGUAGCAGAAGUGCUCUGUCAUUCCUGUUCCUGAGCCCCCUCCUUCCACACCGCUCACACCAAGCCACUAAAAUCCAGAGGAAGAGGCCUCCAGGAACCUUCCCCCAGGCUAUCAAGAAGGCAGCCAGCAGCCAAACCACAGCCCUGGGGAAGGAGAGGGCUAGGUGGAGGUGCACGGCUUAGCUACAGCACAAAAUCAAAAUGACCCUUCUUCCCUCAGGUAGAAGCCUUGCUCCAAGAUAAGUAGGGCAUGCCAGUCCCUGGGCUGGUUCCCAGUGGGCCUGCACUGGGCAGCCUUCUGCCCCAGCCCGUGUUCAACUUCAUCCCCCACAAUGGUCCCCACCUCAGCCAGGCCCCAAUUCACUGUGGAAGCUUGCACAGAGCUCUGUCCCCUUGCUGCCUCAGUCUCCCCACCUUGAGUUUUCCAUUCAUUCAUUUGUCCCCACAGCUGCCAUGCUGGCCUGGGCUACCAGGCUCUCCUUCCUGUCUGGCUACAUACAGCUUCCUCUAGGCGGAAAUCCACUUCCCCACCCCUAAUGGGUUUUUGUUUCUUUUCUCUUUUUUUGGUACCGGGGAUCAAACUCAGGACCCUGCUACUGCAAGGCAGGCGGCAGAACCACUGAGCCAAACCCCGGCCCCUGACAGGAUUUUCUCUUCAGAUCUACCAUGCAGACCUCCUCAUCUGUCAAGGACUACUCCCUCCCCAGCCCUGAGGCUGACCGUGGAUCUCUCAGAAUAAAG
rnacentral:lncRNA from 1 species